rnacentral:lncRNA from 1 species
AUCCUGCUACUUUGCUGAAUUCAUUUAUUAGUUCUAGAAGUUUUCUGGUGGAAUUUUUUGGAUCCUAUAGGUAUAGAAUCAUGUCAUCAGUAAAUAGUGAUAGUUUGAGUUCUUCUUUUCCCAUCUGUAUUCCUUUAAUUUCUUUUGUUUGUCUAAUUGCUCUGGCUAGAGUUUCAAGAACUAUGUUAAAUAGAAGUGGUGAAAGAGGGCAUCCCUGUCUUGUUCCAGUGUUUAGAGAGAACGCUUUCAAUUUUUCUCCAUUUAGAAUGAUGUUGGCCUGGGGCUUAGCAUGAUAGCUUUUACAAUGUUGAGAUAUGUUCUUGUUAUACCUAGUUUUUUUUGGUAUUUUGAACAUGAAGGGGUACUAUAUUUUUUCUAAUGCUUUUUCUGCAUCUAUUAAUAUGAUCAUCUGAUUCUUAUCUUUAAGUCUAUUGAUGUGAUAAAUUACAUUUAUUGAUUUCUGUAUGUUGAACCAACCUUGCAUCCCUGGGAUAAACCCUGCUUGAUCAUAGUGCACUAUCUUUUGAUAUGUUUUUGUAUUUGAUUUGCCAGAAUUUUAUUGAGAAUUUUUGCAUCUCUGUUCAUUAGAGACACUAAAGUUUUCUUUCUUUGAUGUUUUGGUAUCAGGGUGAUAUUGGCCUUAUAGAAUGAGUUUGGAAGUGUUCCCUUUUUUUCAAUUUCAUGAAAUGAUUUG